GUGUUUUAUAAGAAACAUUUUCUUGCUUUUAUUUAUAAACAAAAUAUUUUUGCUUCUUUUUUUCUUAAUAGCUAUUAAUAAUUGUUUAACAUUUGUGUUCACCAACAACAACAUUAUUAGUUUGAUUAAAUCAAUUGAAAUGAAAGCCUGAUUAUAGCCAACAUCAACAUCAACCUUUUUGAAUUGGAUUCACCCUCAGCCAAUUUACAUUACCAAGUCAAAAUAUUAUAUUUUGGUUUUCUUUUUAUUUCUGGUCUUUCAACCUUCCAUACCUAUAAGGCUGGCCAAUAUGUUAAUCAUUGAUUCUUAAUUAUCAUGUUAUUAAUAUGAUGACUGAUUAAAGUGAAUUGGAUCAACAGACUGAAAGAAAUUACAAUUAGGUUGGAAAUAUUGAAGCCUCGCUUUUCCCAUCUUCACUGGAUUUUAUCGGAUAAUAUCAAUGAUUUGUUAUCACAAUUGAUACUAACCUUGAUUGAAACCAUUUUUCACAUUUAAUCAAUUUACGAAACAAUUAAUUGCUCCCUUAAUUGUUUCCCUUAAUUGUUAAAUAUUAAAGAAAAGAAAAGAACUGAUUUUUUACAAUUUGAUUUGUGCGCUUUUUUUAGGUUGUGUAAAAGGUUAAUAGAGGCAAGUUUGGGUUUAGUGAAAAUAGCCAAAAGAGUUACAUUUACAUUUUUGUUGCAUUGUUUCUUCGUGAUUAUCUCAUAUUAAUUACUAUUUGUAAUUCACUUUAUUAAUCAGUUUAUUGUUCAAUUAUUAAUAAUGGUACAGAAUGGAUUAAUUAGCCGUGACCAGAGUUACCUAAUUUAAUGCAAUGUUAAUCAUCAAUUGUCUACAGCCUUCAAGAAUCUUUUUCAGGGUUAAAAGUUUACCAAUUGAACCUUCUGGUACCCGUGGUUUUUGCCUGAUUACCUGUUGAUCUUAUUGUUGCUUCAACUGGCUCCGAUAAUCCGUGCUGUCCACCAGACGAUCGUGUUUGCUGACAUCUUCUGACUGGUCAUAUGUUAUACAAUUUCAGGCGACAAUUGACAAAUUAUGGUGAAUCAAGUAUCCUUAAAUAUCAGUAACUGUUGUCAUCAUGAUUACUGUCGAGAUAAUUACUUUUCUUUUGAUUUUUCACCAAUCAAUUGUGUUUGUACACCAAAUGGAUGUGAAAAUUUCACUUAAAUGGCCUUAUUGAUCUAACAAUUUGCUUGAAAUAUUCAUAUAAUCAAGAAGAUUUACUUAUUUGUAAACAAGAAAGUUACCCUUGGGUUCCGGGUUAAUUGGUUCAACUUGUUAAUUUGAUUCCGUGAAUUAAACCAGAUUUGCUGUUGUAGGUUGAUAGCUUGAAGGUUAGUAGUACCAGAUAAAGGAAAACAUUGAAAUAAGCCAAAUUCAAUCAUAAAAGCCCAACCUUACACUUUAAUUUAAGGUUAAACAAUAAUGUUAAUCAACAUUUCAACCAGAGAUGAUUAAAAUCUAUUAUUUAUUACCAACGCAAGGUAUAAAAGCAAAAUCCAAUAACAAGGUCACUUAAUAUAACCGGAUCAACGUUAAUUUAAUGUUAAAACUUGGCUUUUAUUUUAACUUGAAAAUCUACCAAGGACCAGUUCUUUAUGGAUCCACACACACACACACAUCCAAGAAAAUAAGGACAGCUGAAAAGAUAUUACUUGCUUUAACCAAAUAACCAAUUAAUUGACCAGAUUUUUCCGGUUAAAGGUGAGGUUGAUUAGAUUUUUUCAGUGAAAAAAAUCAGGAAAUUAAAACCAUAAAGAGACUCAAUUAAAUGACAAAUGAUAUUAAUCAAUUGAUUAAUGGUUUAAAGAUGGAUUCAUUACAAGACUUGGGAAGUGACUCGAUUAAUCAUUAAACAUAAACUAGUCAGAUGGCGAUUGAUGAACAAAAUGAACAUGAUUAAACUGAUCUUUACAAAAGAUGGGAAGAGUGAGUAAAAAAGACGAUCAUUUUGUCAUUACUUUAAUCAACAUCAUUGAAAACAAAUGCGAACUCACAGUUUGAGUUAAAAGUGCAAAAAAAAUCAACGGAUGAACAAGAAAAAGAUAUUGCCUUAAGCUUAAUUCAAUCACUACCAAGCACGGCAUCAUCAUGAUCAGUAUCAUGAUAAUCAUCAAGAUAAUCAAGAUAGUCAUCACAUUCAAAUCUGAAAACUGAAAAAAACCAAAGCCAAAGAGAACCAAAUCUUUAAGCAAACCUACAAGACAAAGACCGUAGCAAGGCCUAAGUAAAGACUUGGAAACAAGUGAAAUCAUUUUAAGGAAUCAAUGAAGAGCUGAAACUGGAGUCAAGAAGAGCAAGACUUUGGAUGCAUUGACUGUCCAUUCAACUAAAUCAAAAUUAUCCGAUUUCCACUUUCAAUGGACAAAGAACUGGUUGAAUGAAGAGCCUUUUCAACGUGUGCAACUGUUACAAUUAAAGUUAAUCAAAGCUCGGGAUUGAGUGAAAGUUUCCAAUUUAAUCUCCUUUCAGGAAGUCAUCCUGAUCUUGUAUUUUGUUGUGAAAAGUGUUACCAAAUUUUACAAUUUUUGCCUCAACAAUUUACUAAUUAUCUGGUUGUUUCCUAUCCUUGCUAACAACCAUUGAUUUAAUCAUUGCACUUUGAGUUAUCCCGAGUAAACCUCUCUAAAUUGUUGAUAUAACUUUAGAUUAAUCUAUUGGAUUUGUGGAUUGUGACCCUGAUGCAAAAUUUACGAUUAAACAACAAUUGAAUUGAAACAGAUUAUAAA